rnacentral:lncRNA from 1 species
AUCUCUCUAAAUUAACAAGUCAGUAAAUUAAUUGAGUUAGCAGAUUUUGCGGUUACCAAAGCAAAAAAAGAAAAAAGAUGAAGGGAACUAAAAAGUGGAGAAGAGGAUAAGGGGUGUGCCAACCCUUUCAAAUAUUGCUACUGCUGAGGGUAGAUCUUUUCUAGGCAUGGAAGGAAGCCUAAGCCUUGAAUGCCAGGGGCCUCUACCCUGAAGUUUUACAGAGUUGGACCUUAUCUUCUACCUUUGGAUGAUACUUCCUCCUUAUUAAGGUAUGUGGACCUAGAAGUGGUGGU